UACGUAGGGGGCAAGCGUUGUCCGGAUUUAUUGGGCGUAAAGAGCGUGUAGGCGGCUAGGAAGGUCCGUUGUGAAAACUCGAGGCUCAACCUCGAGACGUCGAUGGAAACCAUCUAGCUAGAGUCCGGAAGAGGAGAGUGGAAUUCCUGGUGUAGCGGUGAAAUGCGCAGAUAUCAGGAAGAACACCCGUGGCGAAGGCGGCUCUCUGGUACGUGACUGACGCUGAGACGCGAAAGCGUGGGGAGCGAACAGG
rnacentral:rRNA from 1 species